rnacentral:misc_RNA from 1 species
AACCUUAUGGACCUGCGGGCGUAUACCUGCGGAGGGAUCAUUAUCAAAACAGCGGCCUUCGGGCCUUGCUGCACCCUUGUCUUUUGCGCACCGUAUUGUUUCCUCGGCGGGCUUGCCUGCCGGUUGGACAUUAUCAAACCUUUUUGUAGUUGCAAUCAGCGUCAGAAAAACAAUAAUUAUUACAACUUUUAGCAAUGGAUCU